CAGCCGCCGCGGUAAUACCGAGGGUGCAAGCGUUAAUCGGAAUUACUGGGCGUAAAGCGCGCGUAGGUGGUUCGCCAAGUUGGAUGUGAAAUCCCCGGGCUCAACCUGGGAACUGCAUCCAAAACUGGCGAGCUAGAGUAUGGUAGAGGGUGGUGGAAUUUCCUGUGUAGCGGUGAAAUGCGUAGAUAUAGGAAGGAACAUCAGUGGCGAAGGCGACCACCUGGACUGAUACUGACACUGAGGUGCGAAAGCGUGGGGAGCAAACAGGAUUAGAUACCCCCGUAGUCCCUGUCUCUUAUAC
rnacentral:rRNA from 1 species